UUAUAUUGCUUUUUUUUUAUAAAUUCAUUUAUGCAAAAAUAUUAAUUACCACAUGUCACCCUCAAUAAUAAUAAUAAUAGUUAAAAAUAAAAAAUAAGUUAAAAGAUAACAACAAUAACAAUAGUAAUAAAAGGUUAUUAAUGACUAUUAAUUUAAAGAAAAUUGGCCAUUGACUUGUGAUUUUUUAAUCCACUAUCAUAUAAUUUACUCAAUUUUAAAUUAUUUUAUAUCUUUAAUAAAUAUUUUUACUAUAUUGCUAUAUUGUUUUUAUUAUAAAAUCUUUGUUAAAAAAUUCUAGAGACAAAAAAUAUAGUAUACAUAAAAAAAAUUAUAAAAAUAAAAUAUAUAGAUUUAGCUUAUUUAUAAUAAGUGUAUUAUUUUUUAUGUUAAUAAUUUAAUAUUCCUUUUAUUUCACUUUCCUAAGAUUAGUUAAUACUUAUUAUUAUCAUUACGACCAACUUAUGGUAAUUGAAUUGAAACGGCCAAGUAAAUGAAAAAUAUUUUACUAUUAUAAAAAUUAGAUUUGAAUUUUUGUUACUGUCUUUCAAUUAAAUAAUAUUUAAUUAUAAAAUUAAAUUUUUAUUUAAAUAAUUUCUAUUUAUUUGCCUAUAUAAAGUAUGUCAUAAGUGACAUUUGAUACACAUCCAGCACUCUCCUCUCAAUAAGUAUUUUUAUUUUACCUAAGUGCUCUUAAAUUUUUUUUUAUUUGCUCUAUUUUUUUUAUUAUUUCUUUUAAAAAUUAUUAGUUAUCAUUUUUAAAAUUUAUUUAUUUAAAUAUGUUUAAUUAAUAUUAUUUAAUUAUUAAUUUUUAUUCUAAAUUUCUUAUUUAAUAUUUCUUAAAAUUUUUAAUAUUUUAUUUCAUUAUAAUUAUAUAUUGGAAGUCUGAACUAAGUCACUCCGACGCAAGUUAUUAAAUGCCAAGAGAUAGCACAUACUAGCAAAUAGUAAAGAAUAGAAUAACAUACCUUGAAUACUGAUGUAAACCAUAUUUAUAGAGCAGAUGACAAUAAUUUUUCCGCUUUAAUCGGGAUUUCAUACUAGCUCAUUUCCCUUUGCAGAAAUAUCUCCUAAUAUGUCAUAUAUUCCAAGCAAUAAUAUAGGACAUGCUUUCCUUAUGUAACUGACUCAUACCCAAUUACUCUUCUAUCUAGUCGGAAUACAUCUGUCCUUGACCAAGCACUCAUUUUAUCUAAAUACUUUGUGAACUGUCCGAACACUUGAUGUCUUAUCUGAACAUUUGAUAUCUUAUCCGAACACCUACUAUGUCCGAACAUCCUCUCUUCAAGGCCUUUUAUCUUUUUCCGGACUCGAGAUCUGAAUCGUUUACUAUUUGAUUUAGAAAUCGUGUCAUACUAUAUCAAAUAUAUAGAUAGAAUAUUCCUAUACAAAUGUUGUUUAUGUAACACUAAAAUUUAAGUAAAUAAAAUAAAAUUUUAUAUAAAUCUCAAUAAUUAGUUAAGAUUAUAAUGACUAAUUUAAAAAUUAAGAUGCAAAAAAUAUUGAAAUAUAACUCUAAAAAUAUGAUAAAAUAAUAUGAAGACCAAGUCAAUCCAUUAUUGAAUUACAUCCCAACAUAUUUUUUCCCCUUAAAAAAAGUUAAAUGUGAUGAGUACUGCUUGAUCUUGAUCUAAUGUUAUGAUUCUUCGAUUAUAAAGCUGUUUAAUAUUGCACAAGUUUAUUUACUGAGAAUGAUCCCUUUUUGUUUGGUAACAGUUUGGUAGAAUGUUCGGAUAUCUGUAAUUUGAUUGGAGAUGGAGAUGAUGGACCUUAAAUCGUGAAUUAAUUUUCAAUUUAUCAUUUUAAUCAAGCUGAUUUGUAAAAUUUAAUCAACGCUAGCCACUUGAUCAUUUUGUUUCUUCCUGUUCUCUUUCGAUUUUAAUUUAUUUCAAUUUCACUUAAUUUUCAUAAUUUUAAACAUUAAAAAAAAUUAAUUUUGUGAA
rnacentral:misc_RNA from 1 species